CGUACGCGUAUGCAAUCUACCUUAAUCAGGGGGAUAGCCCGGAGAAAUCCGGAUUAAUACCGCAUAACGUUAUUUUAUGGCAUCAUAGAAUAACCAAACAUUUAUGGGAUUAAGAUGAGCAUGCGUGACAUUAGUUAGUUGGUGAGGUAACGGCUCACCAAGACUACGAUGUCUAGGGGAUCUGAGAGGAUGACCCCCCACACUGGUACUGAGACACGGACCAG
rnacentral:rRNA from 1 species